AUUGAACGCUGGCGGCAGGCUUAACACAUGCAAGUCGAGCGGGGGAAGGUAGCUUGCUACUGGACCUAGCGGCGGACGGGUGAGUAAUGCUUAGGAAUCUGCCUAUUAGUGGGGGACAACAUCUCGAAAGGGAUGCUAAUACCGCAUACGUCCUACGGGAGAAAGCAGGGGAUCUUCGGACCUUGCGCUAAUAGAUGAGCCUAAGUCGGAUUAGCUAGUUGGUGGGGUAAAGGCCUACCAAGGCGACGAUCUGUAGCGGGUCUGGGAGGAUGGUCCGCCACACUGGGACUGAGACACGGCCCAGACUCCUACGGGAGGCAGCAGUGGGGAAUAUUGGACAAUGGGGGGAACCCUGAUCCAGACAUGCCGCGUGUGUGAAGAAGGCCUUAUGGUUGUAAAGCACUUUAAGCGAGGAGGAGGCUACUUUAGUUAAUACCUAGAGAUAGUGGACGUUACUCGCAGAAUAAGCACCGGCUAACUCUGUGCCAGCCGCCGCCGUAA
rnacentral:rRNA from 1 species